AAUCUCCUUCGCUCGGCUUCGUUUGCAUCCUAUCAUCUCCCCGAUGCUUCUCGCUUUACAUACGGCCAUGGCCAUCCAGUUGAAUACGACGACUCGCGAUUCUUCUGCCUCUUGCUUUUCUUAUAUGAAUUCUUUUUUAUUCCUCUAAUCUUUAUUCUUCUUUCUCUCCUUUUUUUUUCGUACUCGUAUUACUCGUAUUUUCGUUCGGUGUGUGACUCGUCUCGCGAUCGGUGUACGCUGCAUCGCGUCGAUAAUCGUACUGCACGUGUUCGCAAUCGCGAAGUCAAUCACGUGCCAUAAGUGCGUAGUUGCUGCUCAUUUCGAAGCGCUAUGCGAAACGUGUUUGAUCAUGGUUAACAUUUAAUUGUGUAGCGUGCAUGUGAAAUAAUGAGAAAAGAGGCACGCGGUAAAUGAAACACUGGCAAAUCAAUCUGAUCAAGUCCAUUUUUUAUAAAUUUCUCAAUCUCUGCAGUCGAUCAAUAUGAUCGGAGUUUAACUCGUCAGGUACUGAACGAUGUACUAUCUUGAUGAAGUUGAUUGGUUUAAUUCACAGGUGAAGCGUACAUUAUAACAACAUCAUUAAAUACAAAAUAUUACGAGUAUAAUGUUUGUAGUUAAAUAAUAUUCGCGAUAUCGUUAAUUAAACGUUACUAAUAAUGUUCAUCGAUAUUAACUAGAACAAGUAAUUUAUUAUUUUGAUAAUAGGCAAAAGAAAUAAAGAAAUAAAGAAGGAAAAAUGAACGCUAUAGAUUGGGGUUAGGUUAGAAUUAGAUUUGAACGAUAUAACGUAAUGUGUAUAUACAACGUGUUUAUAAUCGAAACAGAUAUACGACCGUCGCCUUUGAAUGUCGACUGACGGCCGCCAUAAAUAGAUUCGAGCGAUAAAAGAUACGUCAAGUGUAAUCAGAACAAGUAUAUGACCGUCCCGUAUGUUUGGAAACCGAGCGACUUUCACAAUAUCGUGUUCUCCUCUGCCAAUAAUGGGAUAUUGAAUAAAGAACGGCAACGACGGUGGAGAAAUUCGACCCGACAUGCAAAUCAUUCCCGAACAGCGUCGCAUAUAAAUAUUCGACAAUUUGCAUUUUCCUCCUGGUGGCAAUCGUAGUACCGUCCCGGCCAUUCCCAAGAUGGAUGCCGCCACUUUGCGAGAUAUACGCCGAAAGUUUUACUGCCCACUAAAUUUCAACUAGCUUCUCUAG
rnacentral:misc_RNA from 1 species